rnacentral:pre_miRNA from 1 species
GUGCUUGGUUUGUAGGCAGUGUAGUUAGAUGAUUGUAUCCAUUGCUUAGCAAUCACUAACCUCACGGCCAUCAAAACAAGGCAC